GAUGAACGCUGGCGGCGUGCUUAACACAUGCAAGUCGAACGGGAAACCUUUUAUUGAAGCUUCGGCAGAUUUAGCUGGUUUCUAGUGGCGGACGGGUGAGUAACGCGUGGGUAACCUGCCCUAUACAGGGGGAUAACAACCAGAAAUGGUUGCUAAUACCGCAUAAGCGCACAGGGCCGCAUGGUCCGGUGUGAAAAACUCCGGUGGUAUAGGAUGGACCCGCGUUGGAUGAGCCAGUUGGCAGGGUAACGGCCUACCAAAGCGACGAUCCAUAGCCGGCCUGAGAGGGUGAACGGCCACAUUGGGACUGAGACACGGCCCAGACUCCUACGGGAGGCAGCAGUGGGGAAUAUUGCACAAUGGGGGAAACCCUGAUGCAGCGACGCCGCGUGAAGGAAGAAGUAUCUCGGUAUGUAAACUUCUAUCAGCAGGGAAGAUAGUGACGGUACCUGACUAAGAAGCCCCGGCUAACUACGUG
rnacentral:rRNA from 1 species